rnacentral:rRNA from 1 species
AGUAAAUAACUUAGGUAGUAAAUUAAUUUAAACCUAUAUGUAAUGGCGGCAUUUCAUCUUAUUAGAGGAACAUGUUUCUUAAUCGACAAUACACGAUCUCUUUCACUAAUUUUUAAAUUUUAUAUACCUCCGUCCUAAAAUUAUUUAUAUUUUAAUAAAAAAUUAUCAAAGGUUAGGUAAAGGUGUAAACUAUAAAUUAGGCCUAAAUGUGUUACUUUAAAAAUAAUUUAAGAAUAUUUGUGUAACCCCUCCAUUGAAAAAGAAUUUAAAAGUAACAUUAAUAUAGUAUAAAAAUUUGAAUAAGAAAAUAAAUGUGC